rnacentral:lncRNA from 1 species
UCUUCAUGUCUAAUCUUGGUGUAAUGUGGAACAGAACUUUUUGGGGAUCCCAUAUUGUUUUGGUAAGUGCAUUUAACAAACACUAGUUAAAAAGCGAUACUGAUGGCAGCAGUAUUUCAGCGGUCAUUCAGUUUAAAACAAUGUUUUAAACCAUAACUCCAUAGAUCUGCAACAGCUGCGGAUAAAUUUCUGUAAUUGUGUGGUAUCAGUUUUUUUCUUUCUUUAUUGUUACCACGGUUAUGGUACAGCAAAUGACCAUUAAAAAAAAAAAAGCGAAAUUGAAGGAAAAAUAUAUAGGGAAGAAGGAGGAGCUCAACACCAGUAGGUCGUCAUCUUAUAAUUCACACUGAAGUGCUGUUUACAUUCAUGCUGAAAAAAGUACCGGUACACAUUUCUUUCACCUUCUUCAACUUUCAGCUUCUUGCUAGAUGUGGUUCUGUGUCUUUGUUUUUCCUAUAGUAGUAUAAUGGCUAAUUGCAGCAUAGAGUCAACCUGUCACAGGUCAUGUGUAGACAGCUAAACUCUUCAUGUUUUGAGUGAACUGUGAAAAUGUUGUACUGAAGUAACAACAUUACCAAAUAUUGAUUUAACAACAUUUUAACGGCACGGCAUAUGAAGCUCAGAGUCAUCGUGGACAAUGAUGGCUUUAAAAUGGCUUCUUCUAAUGGCUUCUCCAUUCGGGAAGGCCAGAAACUUUAAAGGAGUUUCACAGUACAAUUUGCCAAGCAUUUGGAAUUGAACGAGACUUUGGUAUUCAGUUCGUGGAUCCUGACUUCAGUAAUGAAUUCAUGAAUGUUACAUCAGUACAAGACAUACGGGACAGAAGUACAAUCAAGUUAGUGUACAUCAUGCUGAGUGAUGUGGGUGUGAGUCCAUCUUCUCCAUUGCAAAAUUGCCCCAGCACUUCAGGAUCAUCUGGAGCACCAAGAAGAGGCCCAACAUCUCCCAGUGUGUCCUCAUUGUCUUCAACAGACUAUGAUAACACCAUCAUUCAGGGACUGAACCGAGAGCGUGUGCAUGACCACGAGCACGUUCCCUGGAGUGGCAAAGAUUGCACACGGCCUGGAUCACGCUUCUCGCAACACCAUGGUGACUACCGUCUCCCAGUACUGGGAGGCCCCAGGGUUUUCCACUGUCGCAUCGACUUCCUGUCAGAAUUGUCUGAUUUGUUCAAAGUACAACAUUGGUAA